UUGAAUGAUGAGGUAAUUUGCGAUUGAUUCCAUGUCGGUGGCUCCCUCGCCGGGGACGCUAUAUCGGAUGGAAAUGUGAUAUUCAAUUCUUACAUAUUCUGACA
rnacentral:snoRNA from 1 species